CUGCAACCAAUUACGCCCACUGGGUUCCUUUCCUUAUGGUGUCCUGGUGUGCAGUGUCUGAAAACAGCAGCCUCCUUGGGAGUGUAGUAACCUGUUGCUUGUACAGGUUGCCCUAAGGACCCUGGAGACAGUU
ensembl:snoRNA SNORA70 Small nucleolar RNA SNORA70